CCAACUCGUGGAUUGGCCACAAGAUCAUACCUAUAUUACAGCUCAGCGGUAAUAGUUUAAAUUGUUUAUGCAUAUUAUAGCCACACUGAUAUAGGUUCUAACAUAUUGAUUUUUUUGGUCACAGCCUGGACUCUGGAUUGAAAGUCCUACAGGAGAUGGCUCACCAAGAUGAUACUCUCGGGCAUAACAUGUCCAGGACUUCAGUAUGUGCAUAUAUAACAAGUUUCUGUCUUACAUAGCUUUGUUAAUUAUAAAUUUAUGGGCUUCCUAUCACGUAGGUCUGUUGUGCAUAUCAUUUUUCAGUUAUUUAUUAAAUUGUUGUUUAUGUUUUCUAGGAUUCACUACAGCUCAAAAAGCACCUGCUGGUCCAGAUGCUGAUGAUCAAAGGCAAUGAAGCAGCUAUAAACAUCCCAGCUGAAAUUACAGCAUGCUUGAGGUUUUUGGAGGAAUGACUAUGGACUAAUGCUAAAUCGAAUGUCGCAAAUAUAAUAAGCUAAUAGAACCUUGUCAGGGAUCAAAUUGAGAUUUAUCCUUUUGGCAGUAUGAAUAAUGGAUUUGAUUAUAUAUAUGUAGAGAAUAAACUGUUUGAUGGCACCCUCUAGCUUCGUAUUCGUUUAAACGUUGUCUGCUUGUUUUGGUUCUAUCUAAAUAUUUUGGCUUCUAUGUAUAUUUUGUACUAUAAUAUUCGUGCGGUCAGGAGCAGGUUUGUUGCUCCAGGUGAACCAGAGGCAUUUUGUAAAGGACCAUUGCAGGUUCAGCCGGCAAAUGAGGUUUUCAGUCAUGCCUCACAUCAUAUACUAACUCGUAUCGUGUAACUCCAUCCAUACACACACUGCUAUACGAUACGAGGUUUACUUUGUCGGCAAUCGUCACAUGCCAGCUAUGGAAUAGCCAAAAUAAAAACAUGUUGCAAUUGUGCAUCUCUAUCCUAAUCCCGACGGAUGCCUCGGGACACUUAUCCGCAUCACUGGAACCCCCAGAAAAGUGUUGCUUUAGCCUUCUCCUAGGAUCAUAAUGUACACUGGAGUAAAUCUUUCCUCUCUAAAUCUGGCCAAAACCCAUACUUCCAGGCUGGAUCAUCUGAUAUAGCUCUUCUCCUAUAGGAUCAUUUGGUAGAUCCAUGAGAGCAGGUACACCUGGCUACUGUCAAAGAAAAAGAGAGAAGAGCCAAAUCACCAGAGCAGCCAUAUCAAGCAUGGGGAAGGAGAGAAGCAGUGGUGGGGCUGCUGCCUUGUGGGUGGAGAAGCAGAUCUGGGAAGAAACAGAUGCAGAUGAGAAGGAGCAGGCAAGCACAUCUAGCUACACUGAUCUGCUGGAAGAGGGUUGCGCCAGAGGAGGAUGGGGAGGAGCUGCAGCCAGAGAGGAGGGGGAGGAACUGUGGCCGGAGGGAGGAGGCUGGCGGCUGCCGCAGAUCUGAGGAGGAAGCCUGUGUCAAUGGUCCAGAGAAGAGACAUGAGAGACCUCUCGCGUGGAUUCUCUCUCUCUCUUUCCCCUUCUCAUAACUGGUCGCACCUGAACCAAUGUUUCCCGCGCUUGUGUUCCCGCCCAGGUCAGCUUUCUCGCGUGCAAUCUAUAUUUCCCUGCUUGACAGGCUAAGGCGUCUGAUUGGUCUGAGGCGUGCAAGGCGGCGCUAAGGCGGACGCUUCAGACGCCUUACAGCCUAAGGCGGACGCCUUACGCAACUGUGUUAGGCAAGGCCUACGCCUUGAGCCUGGAGGGCGCCCUGACGCCUAGGCGUCGCCUGAACGACGCCUUACGGACGCCUUAAAAACAUAGGUGUAGUGAUUAAUCAUCCAUUUCAUUGAAAGUUCAGGUGGUCUUGGGGAUCUCUAUGUGGCAGAAGAUAGAGAUUUGGUGCCUUUUUGUUGCAAAUAUUUCUAGCUUUCUAGGUAGGCCAAGAUUUCUCAACAUUCUGCAAUAUUCAGUUGUUGUAUGUUGUCUUAGGCUCACACCAAAUGCUGAAUUAUAGCAGUGAAUGUAAGUUGUAUUCCAUGUAGAGUACGUAGCAGAUUUAUAGCUUACUAUACUUCUAUAAAUCCUACAACUCCCGUAUUAACGCACGAACCAUAAAGUCAUGAAUUAUAAUUGGCAAAAAGAACUAUAUACAACAACUGAGAAACUGGAAUUAGUAUUGGUUACCUUUGGCAUUGGAAAACCAUGGAGAAACUGGAAUUGAAAUCAUUCAUCGAACUUGUGUGGUCUCUGAGAUAUUACAACUGCAAAUAGUAUAUUGAGACUGUACAUUACUACGUAAUUAUGGAAUUAAGUAUUACUACAAUCUGUUAAAUCAUACAAAAUUAGCUAAGCAGGAAAAUGAUUAGUGUGCAUGCCGUGAAUUUAACUUUGUUGUAGCUAAACUUGGCAUGCAAGCAAUGAAAAGUUCUUUAUUUAAUUAAUACAGUAAUUUAAUUCUUCUUAGUAAGUUAUGAUUUUUUUACAUCUUUCCUAAUUUAUUAACAGGUCUGCAUUUGAUGGAAAACAAUGGUAUAUAUGGUAACAAUGGUAUAUAUGGUAGAAUUAUAUUCAGCCAUGAUCUGCUACCCAGUUAUUCUCCGCAUGGGCUACCUAUAUAUGUUAUUCUCCUCUGCCAUCCCUCCUCCCUCUCCUUGCUCUUCCUUCGGCCAUCACAACAGCAGUCCUGGAGGAAAAUUUCCCAAGGAGUACCUUGUGUAAGCAAGGAGCAUCAAGAAGGCGAGUUGCUCUAGGCACGAACAAUUCUGGAUCUUUAUCUUCUCUAAAAGUGUAAUAGUUGUUAUAUUAGGAUCAUGUUUGGUUGAUGUAUAGUAUCAAAAGUAUGUUUUAUCUUGCAUUUUAUGUAUGUGGUGCUAAAAUUUAGUGAACAGUCAAAAGUUGAACAUCAAGUUAAGCAAACAGAACAAUUUACCAGAGCAAUCUAUGCAUUUGAGGACCUCAUGGUUUUAUCCAUGCCUGUCUUGUAAGUCCAUCUUAGUGAUUCCAUCAAGGAGCUCUCAGCAAGAAUAUCUAGGCUUGGGAAAGAU
rnacentral:lncRNA from 1 species